rnacentral:rRNA from 1 species
GAUGAACGCUAGCGGCAGGCUCAACACAUGCAAGUCGAGGGGUAUAGUUCUUCGGAACUAGAGACCGGCGCACGGGUGCGUAACGCGUAUGCAAUCUACCUUUUACAGGGGGAUAGCCCAGAGAAAUUUGGAUUAAUACCCCAUAGUAUGUUAGAGUGGCAUCAUUUUAACAUUAAAGUUCCAACGGUAAAAGAUGAGCAUGCGUCCCAUUAGCUAGAUGGUAAGGUAACGGCUUACCAUGGCGACGAUGGGUAGGGGUCCUGAGAGGGAGAUCCCCCCCACUGGUACUGAGACACGGACCAGACUCCUACGGGAGGCAGCAGUGAGGAAUAUUGGACAAUGGGCGCAAGCCUGAUCCAGCCAUGCCGCGUGCAGGAAGACGGUCCCAUGGAUUGUAAACUGCUUUUGUACAGGAAGAAACACUCCCUCGUGAGGGAGCUUGACGGUACUGUAAGAAUAAGGAUCGGCUAACUCCGUGCCAGCCGCCGCUGUAAAAC